rnacentral:sRNA from 1 species
UGCCUAAACUCUUGCUCUAGCGAGGGCAUGGCAAAGAAAUCCACGGACAUAAAGAGCGGCUCGUUCAGCUCCAUGUCCGUGGUCCGUGCCCGAAAGGGUCGGGAGGCGCAAGCCUC